GACGAACGCUGGCGGCGUGCUUAACACAUGCAAGUCGAACGGAAAGGCCCUGCUUUUGUGGGGUGCUCGAGUGGCGAACGGGUGAGUAACACGUGAGUAACCUGCCCUUGACUUUGGGAUAACUUCAGGAAACUGGGGCUAAUACCGGAUAGGAGCUCCUGCUGCAUGGUGGGGGUUGGAAAGUUUCGGCGGUUGGGGAUGGACUCGCGGCUUAUCAGCUUGUUGGUGGGGUAGUGGCUUACCAAGGCUUUGACGGGUAGCCGGCCUGAGAGGGUGACCGGCCACAAUGGGACUGAGAUACGGCGCAGACUGGUACGGGAGGCAGCAGUGGGGAAUAUUGCACAAUGGGCGGGAGCCUGAUGCAGCAACGCCGCGUGCGGGAUGACGGCCUUCGGGGUGUAAACCGCUGUCGCCUGUGACGAAGCGUGAGUGACGGUAAUGGGUAAAGAAGCACCGGCUAACUACGUG
rnacentral:rRNA from 1 species